GCGGCAAUAUACUCCUCACACUCACACGCCUCUUCCUUCCACAAUACGAUUCACAAACCCUAAUUUAUCAAUCGAGUGCGGAUCUAAACCAGACCCAUGGACAAACAUCCUACAUAAUCUCUCAUAACCCGUUCCCAAACCCUAUUUUCCAUCGCUUCCUGUUUCGUAAUCUACCAACGUUGAAGACUUGUGUGUUCAUUGAGAAUUCGAAUUAUGGCAGUGUGAAGAUGAAGCUUGCGCUAGCGCUAAAUACGUGUUUAUACGUCUCCGAAAGCUCCGAUGACGUUGAAUUUGUGAAAAGUUCGUCUAGAAGCUGUUCAGAUUCUCCUCGGCGUAUGCCGAUCACUCCGACUCCGUCGUCUUCUGGUCUCCAUGUGUUGAAAAACGGCGAUAAAUCGACGUCGGAGGUUUUCUGAUUUCCGUUGCAGUUCUCCCAUGCUUUAACUUUAAGAGAGAUGCUCAAAAACAGGAACUUGCUUCCUCAUCUACAGAUAGCCUUUAUAAGACCCUCAAAGAUCAAGAUGCCAAUUUGAAUUCAUUGAUAGGAUGGUUAACUUCACUUGAACCAUCAGGCACACCACAACGGAAAAUAACGAAGGUAUAAAUUUCGCUACGGAACAAGAGUUUGGCGAUUUUGCUUUAUGUGGAGGUUCACGUCACCAUAUAACAGUUUGGACUUAGACGUGAAGCCUAAGUUUGGAAAGGCGUAGAACAAAAAUGAUGAUCUACCUGAGGAUUCAAUGCCAGUAGAUAUUAUAUAUUUGUGUUAAGCCACCCGCGAAAAUCGCGGGAUCUUAGGCUAGUUAACUCUAAAUCAAUAAAAGGAAUCUUUCGGUCCAAGAAAAGUUGACUCCUAAUACAUGAAUGCUUAAUAUGGUAAUUUUGUGACAA